UGGGGAAUAUUGCACAAUGGGCGAAAGCCUGAUGCAGCAACGCCGCGUGAGUGAUGAAGGCCUUCGGGUUGUAAAGCUCUGUCUUUUGGGACGAUAAUGACGGUACCAAAGGAGGGAGCCACGGCUAACUACGUGCCAGCAGCCGCGGUAAUACGUAGGUGGCAAGCGUUGUCCGGAUUUACUGGGCGUAAAGGAUGCGUAGGCGGAUUUUUAAGUGAGAUGUGAAAACCCUAAGCUUAACUUGGGGACUGCAUUUCAUACUGGAAAUCUAGAGUGCGGGAGAGGAGAAUGGAAUUCCUAGUGUAGCGGUGAAAUGCGUAGAGAUUAGGAAGAACACCAGUGGCGAAGGCGAUUCUCUGGACCGUAACUGACGCUGAGGCAUGAAAGCGUGGGUAGCAAACAGGAUUAGAUACCCUGGUAGUCCACGCCGUAAACGAUGAGUACUAGGUGUAGGAGGUAUCGACCCCUUCUGUGCCGCAGUUAACACAAUAAGUACUCCGCCUGGGAAGUACGAUCGCAAGAUUAAAACUCAAAUGAAUUGACGGGGUCAUAGCUGUUUUCCU
rnacentral:rRNA from 1 species